GGUUCAGUAGUGUAGAGGUUAUCACCCGGGAUUCUGAUCGCAGCUUUUCCCUCUCCUGCUCACCUUCCCGUAACCCAGGUUCGAGUCCUGGUUGGACCU